CAGACUGAGGCACCUAAAUUUAGACGCCAGGGUGUGAGCUCAUUGCCUGUGCUCCCAUUAUAGUCUGCGGAGACCUCAUCAGUGGACCUGAAGAGCUGCUCAGCUGACUAAACGGUGAACAUCCCCAGCUCUCAGCCUCUCUUCAUUGGAGAGAUGUUAAGGUUUGUGGUGUCUGACUGGCUGUGAUGUUUCAGAGGUCUUGAAAGUGGCUGUAUGUUUGUGAGCAGGACAAGUGCCUUAUUGUGAAGAUUUUUGGUGAGCAGUGUUGCUGUCUGCAAUGAGUGGCCUUUCAUGGGCAGUAUGGGAAGAACUUGGGAGCUGCCAGUGCCUUUGUUUUCAGA